rnacentral:rRNA from 1 species
AUUGAACGCUGGCGGCAGGCCUAACACAUGCCAGUCGAACGGUAACAGGAAGCAGCUUGCUGCUUCGCUGACGAGUGGCGGACGGGUGAGUAAUGUCUGGGAAGCUGCCUGAUGGAGGGGGAUAACUACUGGAAACGGUAGCUAAUACCGCAUAAUGUCGCAAGACCAAAGAGGGGGACCUUCGGGCCUCUUGCCAUCGGAUGUGCCCAGAUGGGAUUAGCUUGUUGGUGGGGUAACGGCUCACCAAGGCGACGAUCCCUAGCUGGUCUGAGAGGAUGACCAGCCAUACUGGAACUGAGACACGGUCCAGACUCCUACGGGAGGCAGCAGUGGGGAAUAUUGCACAAUGGGCGCAAGCCUGAUGCAGCCAUGCCGCGUGUAUGAAGAAGGCCUUCGGGUUGUAAAGUACUUUCAGCGGGGAGGAAGGGAGUAAAGUUAAUACCUUUGCUCAUUGACGUUACCCGCAGAAGAAGCACCGGCUAACUCCGUG